rnacentral:piRNA from 1 species
UAAGACUUCCUUUUAGUCAACAAGUGCCUU